UACGGGGGGGGCAAGCGUUGUUCGGAAUUACUGGGCGUAAAGGGCUCGUAGGCGGCCAACUAAGUCAGACGUGAAAUCCCUCGGCUUAACCGGGGAACUGCAUCUGAUACUGGAUGGCUUGAGUUCGGGAGAGGGAUGCGGAAUUCCAGGUGUAGCGGUGAAAUGCGUAGAUAUCUGGAGGAACACCGGUGGCGAAGGCGGCAUCCUGGACCGGCAUUGACGCUGAGGCGCGAAAGCCAGGGGAGCAAAGCGGGG
rnacentral:rRNA from 1 species